rnacentral:rRNA from 1 species
UACAGAGGGUGCGAGCGUUGUUCGGAAUUACUGGGCGUAAAGCGCGCGCAGGCGGCUCUUUAAGUCCGCUGGUCAAAGACCGGGGCUCAACCCCGCGUCAGCCAGGGAUACUGGAGGGCUGGAGACAGGUAGAGGCAAGCGGAAUUCCGGGUGUAGCGGUGGAAUGCGUAGAGAUCCGGAAGAACACCGGAGGCGAAGGCGGCUUGCUGGACCUGGUCUGACGCUGAGGCGCGAAAGCGUGGGGAGCGAACAGG